rnacentral:rRNA from 1 species
GAAUCCUGGCUCAGGAUGAACGCUAGCUACAGGCUUAACACAUGCAAGUCGAGGGGCAUCAGGAAGAAAGCUUGCUUUCUUUGCUGGCGACCGGCGCACGGGUGAGUAACACGUAUCCAACCUGCCCUUUACUCGGGGAUAGCCUUUCGAAAGAAAGAUUAAUACCCGAUGGGAUAAUCAUUCCGCAUGGUUUGAUUAUUAAAGGAUUCCGGUAAAGGAUGGGGAUGCGUUCCAUUAGGUUGUUGGUGAGGUAACGG